rnacentral:lncRNA from 1 species
AGCUUCGCGCAGGGAUGGAGCCGGAAGAGGGGACGCCCUUGUGGCGGCUGCAGAAGCUGCCGGCCGAGCUGGGCCCGCAGCUUCUUCACAAAAUAAUUGAUGGCAUUUGUGGUCGAGCUUAUCCUGUGUACCAAGAUUAUCACACUGUUUGGGAAUCAGAAGAAUGGAUGCACGUUUUAGAAGAUAUUGCCAAAUUUUUCAAAGCCAUAGUUGGUAAAAACUUACCUGAUGAAGAGAAAUAUUUGUGCUGAAGACAUGAAGAUUCUUGGAUGUAUUCUUGUAGAAGCUUGAUUGUUUUAGCUUUCACAUUAUGUUACUGAUGCAUUUUGAAUUAAUAUUUGUGUAUGGAGUGGAGGUCAAGUUCACAAUUUUCUACAUUAAUAUCUAGUUGACCAUUUAUUGAAAUGACCAUCCUUGCCCCACAAUAUUGCUGUGCUGCCUUUAUUGUAAAUCAAGUGGCCCUAUAUUUGUGCCUCUG